AUUCUACCCAUGUGGGGAAGGAUGAGAAGCUUCGACUAAGGUUCGAUUCGAGCGCAGCGAGAAAGCGUUGCCGUAGGCAACGACCCGAAGGGCGAAGCGCGCAGCGCUGAGUCAUCCUUCCCCCACCACCA
rnacentral:sRNA from 6 species